GACUGGGUUCGUGCAGAUAACCAACAAUUUACGAUGUUUGGAAUGAGACUAACGUGAGGAGAGACGUCUGAGGGCAUACCAGGCGGAGCAUAACCAUCUUGAAGACUCUGACCUCUUCAUGCUCCUAGUAGUGGAGGUGCCCAGGUGAUUACUUUUUUUUUGGUGGCUGGUCUUCACUAUGUAUUUCAGCAUGCUGCAUGGUGUCUGCAGCCACAGAGCUUUUGAACUGCCCAGAGUUGCACUCCAUCCUACGGCUGGUCCCGAGGGCAGGAAACUACAUGAAUGCCGCAAGUAGCAGUCAUCUGGCACCUAGACAGCCAAUGGAGCCAGAUAUUGAAAACCAUUAUUCUCUCUUCUUUCCAAAUGUAUUGAGGGCAUGAGUAUGAAUGAGUUGAAGUGGGAGGGAAUGAUCUGAUCGUGUCACACCUUCUGACUUUCAUCAACAGGGAGGUUACACAGGUAAUGCUGCUGGGUUCCGUGUCGCCUCUCUGCUCAAACUCGCUGACACCAAAGCCAACGAACCAGACAUGAACCUGUUGCAUUAUGUGGUAAUGGUAAAAAUCUGCUAAAUACUUCACAAAUGGAUGUUAAAACACUCCUUUCAGACAUAUGUGUCACGCCGUGACCUUAGUAUUCUUUGUUUUCUUUAUUGUUUUGGUUAGGUCAGGGUGUGACAUGGGUGAUGUAUGUGUUUUUGUACUGUCUAGGGGUUUUGUAGGUUUAUGGGGUUGUUUACUAUCUAGGUGUU